UACGUAGGGUGCAAGCGUUGUCCGGAAUUAUUGUGCGUAAAGAGCUCGUAGGCGGUUUGUCGCGUCUGCCGUGAAAGUCCGGGGCUCAACUCCGGAUCUGCGGUGGGUACGGGCAGACUAGAGUGAUGUAGGGGAGAUCGGAAUUCCUGGUGUAGCGGUGAAAUGCGCAGAUAUCAGGAGGAACACCGGUGGCGAAGGCGGAUCUCUGGGCCAUUACUGACGCUGAGGAGCGAAAGCGUGGGGAGCGAACAGG
rnacentral:rRNA from 1 species